rnacentral:rRNA from 1 species
GAUGAACGCUGGCGGCGUGCCUAAUACAUGCAAGUCGAGCGAAUGGAUUAAGAGCUUGCUCUUAUGAAGUUAGCGGCGGACGGGUGAGUAACACGUGGGUAACCUGCCCAUAAGACUGGGAUAACUCCGGGAAACCGGGGCUAAUACCGGAUAACAUUUUGAACCGCAUGGUUCGAAAUUGAAAGGCGGCUUCGGCUGUCACUUAUGGAUGGGCCCGCGGCCUAUCAGCUUGUUGGUGGGGUGAUGGCCUACCAAGGCGACGACGGGUAGCCGGCCUGAGAGGGUGACCGGCCACACUGGGACUGAGACACGGCCCAGACUCCUACGGGAGGCAGCAGUAGGGAAUCUUCCGCAAUGGACGAAAGUCUGACGGAGCAACGCCGCGUGAGUGAUGAAGGCUUUCGGGUCGUAAAACUCUGUUGUUAGGGAAGAACAAGUGCUAGUUGAAUAAGCUGGCACCUUGACGGUACCUAACCAGAAAGCCACGGCUUACUACGUGCCAGCAGCCGCCGUAA